rnacentral:rRNA from 1 species
UACGUAGGGACCGAGCGUUGUCCGGAAUCAUUGGGCGUAAAGAGCGUGUAGGCGGCUUGUUAAGUCUUGCGUGAAAUCUCGGGGCUCAACCCCGAGCGGUCGUGAGAAACUGGCAGGCUAGAGUGCGGGAGAGGAGAGUGGAAUUCCUGGUGUAGCGGUGAAAUGCGCAGAUAUCAGGAGGAACACCAAUGGCGAAGGCAGCUCGCUGGGACGGUACUGACGCUGAGGCGCGAAAGCGUGGGGAGCAAACAGG